GUCAUGAAUCAAAACUUCGGAGAUUUGGCCAUUUUGAUUUUAAUACAUUUCGAUUUUCAUUUCGAUUCUGAUUACAAUCACGAACCAAAUACCUCCUAAGUUUUUUGUUCUUCAGCUUAAGGAACUAUUUCUUAAGAGAAUGGAACGAAGAGUCAUUCAAUCUAAGGGCUUGCUUAAUAUUGCUACUCUUUUGUUUUUUGAUUU
rnacentral:lncRNA from 1 species